UACGAAGGGGGCUAGCGUUGCUCGGAAUCACUGGGCGUAAAGGGCGCGUAGGCGGCGUUUUAAGUCGGGGGUGAAAGCCUGUGGCUCAACCACCAGAAUGGCCUUCGAUACUGGGACGCUUGAGUAUGGUAGAGGUUGGUGGAACUGCGAGUGUAGAGGUGAAAUUCGUAGAUAUUCGCAGGAACACCAGUGGCGAAGGCGACUUGCUGGAUCUUGCUGACGCUGAGACGCGAAGCGUGGGAGCAACAGG
rnacentral:rRNA from 1 species